UGGGGAAUAUUGGACAAUGGGGGCAACCCUGAUCCAGCCAUGCCGCGUGAGUGAAGAAGGCCUUAGGGUUGUAAAGCUCUUUCACCCGUGACGAUGAUGACGGUAGCGGGAGAAGAAGCCCCGGCUAAUUCCGUGCCAGCAGCCGCGGCAAUACGGAAGGGGCUAGCGUUGUUCGGAAUUACUGGGAGUAAAGCGCGCGUAGGCGGCCAUGCAAGUGAGGCGUGAAAGGCCUGGGCGCAAUCUGGGAACUGCGCUUCAGACUGCACGGCUGUAGUCCGGGAGAGGGUGGUGGAAUUCCCAGUGUAGAGGUGAAAUUCGUAGAUAUUGGGAGGAACACCAGUGGCGAAGGCGGCCACCUGGCCCGGUACUGACGCUCAAGUGCGAAAGCGUGGGGAGCAAACA
rnacentral:rRNA from 1 species